UGAUGGCGACGUAAUUUUAGAAACGCGACCGUGUUGUGGGUUGCGAGUGCAAUGCCCAGUAAGAAGAUGUGUCCGUGGCGAUGAGGUUACCAUGUUAAAGCCGCCGAUGUCAAAUUGGCCUUACCUCGUCUACGUUCGCGGGGACAAGGGCAGCAGCUGGACCUCGGCGGACUAGAGCGCGUGCUGCAGCGCGUGUGGAAUGAGACAAACGGAUGCGCGCUCAACUCGCUUCCCUGGACGGUGCGCGUUACCAACACCACGGGCGGCUACAUCGACCUGACCCAGCCUCCGCUCGCCCACCUCGCGGCCGGCCUGCGACGCCUCGACGACGUCACCCUCGACAACGGGCGGGUGUUCAAGGAAGACUACCAGCUGUCGGACGUUGUCUGCGGCGCGCCGGACCUGAAAGCCGCCGCGGACAGGCUCGCGUCCGCCUGGGCGCAGGUGCGUACGAUCUACGCGGCAUCGAUACGGUCUGCCUUCGACCGCCAGGCCCUGCAGGACGCCCUCCGCCGGCUGUGGCUUGACAACAAUGUGGGCGUACUCGCGCCCGACCAGUGGCGCUACCACCUCGUCAACGAGGACUACUACUCACCCGACGCCGUCACGCUGCUGCUGAGGAACGCCCUCGAGGCAAAGUACCCAGGUAAGCACAGGGGGUUACUCUGGGAAAUUGAAAAGUGUAGCCGAAAAAAUAGCCAAUUGACUAUUUGUAGCCAAUGUAAAUCAUUUGUA